CUGACUUCUCUCAUAAUACUUGGAGUGUUAAUUCUUCAGAUAAUGAAGGAUUUGGUAUUCUCAAAGAUAAAGGGUGCACAGCUUUGGAGGACCAUCACUGGCAAGUUUGUUUCUUUUAUAGCUGUUUAACAAGAUUCCAUGGCCAGAAAGUCACAGAGCAGUUGAGAUUUUUCACCCUUAGUG